rnacentral:misc_RNA from 1 species
UGGAAAAAUCGUAAAUAACAUUGCAACUGCAGCAGCAACAGCAGCGAAAACUAUGUGAAAAACAGUUGUAAUUGUUAAUAAUUGUAAAAGUGCAAUGCAUUUCGUGACGUCGCAUGGAAAAUUAAAAGCGUGCUCGUGUUAUUUCUAAACAUACAUAGUGCAUAUGUAUAUAUAGAUGUAGGCAUGGUUGAGGCGACAAAAUUUGGCAAUCUGGAGGCCUACACAUAUCUGCUUGUGACGCUAAAUUUAACGCUUGCGUUAAUUGUAAUGUUUUUCAAUUGUCUGUGCUGCAAGAAAAGAAUACCAAAAAAUGAUUUGCUCGGCCUGGAGGGCAUGGUGAAGCUAAAGAACCCCGACGAGGUUAUUGUGGUCAGCAGCAACAAUUCGAAUGCGAAUACGAAUGCGGCAACAAAUAGCAACAGCCUGGUGCACAACAGUGAGUCACAAGCAGAGCUGAAUGCGUCUACGGUCUCAAAUGCUGACUCAGAAAAGAGAUCUAGCACAGCGGCGCAUCGCAGCUUGCCGGACAUACCCGUUGCGGAGAACAACGACAAUGGCUCCGAAUUGUAUGAGACUGUUGCCGACAAGCAGCUGGCCAAUGCGCAUAAUCAAAGUCCAGCUCAGCCCAGUUUGAAAAAGCAAACCAGCGUAUCGCAACAUAGCUCCAUCAGCCAGGCGGAUGAUGUUAGCUCGCCGUAUUCGCGUGUUAAGGGCUUGCCGCAUGAUUAUGCCAAGGUGCGUGGCACCGAGCAUCCGUAUGCGCAACUUAAUGCACCGUCCACCUCCACCUCUGCUGUAGCAGCAACAAAUGCAAGCAAUUCCAGCAGCAAAGCUGCAUGUUCACAACAUGGCACCGACUCACUGCAGCGUGGCUCACAGCUCAGUGGCGAGUCGGCACAGCACCUGAACGAUGAAUCGACUUCGCAGGUAGAAAUACCGGCUGCAUCGGCUAUUGCGGGCAUGAUAUCGGCCAGUCAGGAUCUGCCCUAUAUGACGCCGCCCAUUGCAAAUCAACAUUUUAGUGGCGACUCACAAGACUCUUCUAAGGGAUAUACGAGCAUUAGCGUGCGUGAGCCGCUGGCUAAUAUUCUGGCACAGCAACCGCCGAGCAAACAGACGGCCAGAAAAACUACGCUGACGCGUGAUGUCAAUGACUCGCACUAUGCAACCGUCUCAGACGAUUCGGAUGAAACAUAUGCGGCUAUUGAGGAUCCCAACAAUCGUCACAUACCAAAUGCCACCGAUAUUUAUACAAGCGGUUCAGAGACCUAUGCACAAAUCCAGCCAAUGCAGGCUAAUCCCAUUGUAGUGGCAGUUGAGAUUAACAACAGCAGCAGCUUGUCGGCAGCGAGUGCAGCGACAGGCAGUAGCGGGCAGCUGCCGCCGCUUAAUCACACUACGGGCAGCGGAUCGACGCACCGAGUGAGCAGCAGCAGCAUGGAGUAUGCUGGGCCCGUGCCGCAUCAUGUGGAUAAUUUGCGCGCACAAAUGCACUCGCGGCAAGCAUCUUCUUCGUCGUCUGUGUGCAAUUUAGGUUCGCCCAAACCGGAGAAGAGGCAGGCAAAUUCUCCGUUGCCUCCUACGCCCAAAGCGAGUCUCAGUCAGUCGCAAGGGCAACAUCACCUUCAUUCAGCAGCAAGCAGCAGCAAUCUUACAUCUGGGCGCAGCUCUGUUAUCUCUGUAAUUGAAGCCGGCGGUGAGGGCAACAACGAUGCCAAUGAUGCUAGCAAUGCAUCCCCACAGCGCAAGCACAGCAAGAGUCUAAGCCCAUCCAAAGAUGUUGAGGGCAGCAGAAACAUCGAGGGAAUGUACGCCAAGGUGAUGAAGAAGCACAAGUUCUCCUCACACCAGCCGGAGGUACUUGGUGUCAGUCCCUUGGAUAGUGCAGCAGCGGCGCUUCUAAUGGAUCCACUGAAGCUGACGACAUCUGGGUCUGACAAGAGUCGUGUGCGCAGCAACAGUUACACUGCCAAAGAUCAUGGAUACGAGACGAUACCGGCGGAUGGGCAGAAACUGACGCAAAAUCAGCUGCCGCACGAGAAUCGCAAGUCGGAUUGUUAUGCCAACAUUCUGCAAAAGGAGCGGCAGCUGGAAGCAGUUGUUUUGCCAAAAUGAGAAAUUUGCGCGUUUCGACAGUUUCGUCAGUUUUUGUUGGAAACUGACAGUGCUGUCAGUCAAACGCAUCACAACAAUAUCAGCAGCAGCAGCGUUCAGGUCAAACCUGUUGCGCCCAGCACCAGCACAAAGCACUACGAGACUA